rnacentral:tRNA from 2 species
CGGGCUAUGGCGCAGCUUGGUUAGCGCGCUUGACUGGGGGUCAAGAGGUCGUGGGUUCAAAUCCCGCUAGCCCGACCA